CCUACGGGAGGCAGCAGUGAGGAAUAUUGGUCAAUGGGCGCGAGCCUGAACCAGCCAAGUAGCGUGAGGGAAGACUGCCCUACGGGUUGUAAACUUCUUUUAUAAAGGAAUAAAGUGGGGCACGUGUGCCUUUUUGUAUGUACUUUAUGAAUAAGGAUCGGCUAACGCCGUUCCAGCAGCCGCGGUAAUACGGAGGGUCCGAGCGUUAGCCGGAUUUAUUGGGUUUAAAGGGAGCGUAGGUGGGUGGUUAAGUGAGUUGUGAAAGUUUGCGGCUCAACCGUAAGAGUGCAAUGGAUUCUGGCAGCCUGGAGUGCAGUUGAGGUAGGCGGAAUUCGUGGUGUAGCGGUGAAAUGCUUAGAUAUCACGAAGAACCCCGAUUGCGAAGGCAGCUUACUAAACUGUUACUGACGUUGAUGCUCGAAAGUGUGGGUAUCAAACAGGAUUAGAUACCCUAGUAGUC
rnacentral:rRNA from 1 species